rnacentral:rRNA from 1 species
CCUGCCCAAGAGAUCGGGAUAACACCUGGAAACAGAUGCUAAUACCGGAUAACAACAGAUGAUGCCUAUCAACUGUUUAAAAGAUGGUUCUGCUAUCACUCUUGGAUGGACCUGCGGUGCAUUAGCUAGUUGGUAGGGUAACGGCCUACCAAGGCGAUGAUGCAUAGCCGAGUUGAGAGACUGAUGGCCACAUUGGGACUGAGACACGGCCCAAACUCCUACGGGAGGCAGCAGCU